rnacentral:rRNA from 1 species
AGCGUACACGGUGGAUGCCCUGGCAGUCAGAGGCGAUGAAGGACGUGCUAAUCUGCGAUAAGCGUCGGUAAGGUGAUAUGAACCGUUAUAACCGGCGAUUUCCGAAUGGGGAAACCCAGUGUGAUUCGUCACACUAUCAUUAACUGAAUCCAUAGGUUAAUGAGGCGAACCGGGGGAACUGAAACAUCUAAGUACCCCGAGGAAAAGAAAUCAACCGAGAUUCCCCCAGUAGCGGCGAGCGAACGGGGAGCAGCCCAGAGCCUGAAUCAGUGUGUGUGUUAGUGGAAGCGUCUGGAAAGGCGCGCGAUACAGGGUGACAGCCCCGUACACAAAAAUGCACAUACUGUGAGCUCGAUGAGUAGGGCGGGACACGUGGUAUCCUGUCUGAAUAUGGGGGGACCAUCCUCCAAGGCUAAAUACUCCUGACUGACCGAUAGUGAACCAGUACCGUGAGGGAAAGGCGAAAAGAACCCCGGCGAGGGGAGUGAAAAAGAACCUGAAACCGUGUACGUACAAGCAGUGGGAGCACGCUUAGGCGUGUGACUGCGUACCUUUUGUAUAAUGGGUCAGCGACUUAUAUUCUGUAGCAAGGUUAACCGAAUAGGGGAGCCGAAGGGAAACCGAGUCUUAACUGGGCGUUAAGUUGCAGGGUAUAGACCCGAAACCCGGUGAUCUAGCCAUGGGCAGGUUGAAGGUUGGGUAACACUAACUGGAGGACCGAACCGACUAAUGUUGAAAAAUUAGCGGAUGACUUGUGGCUGGGGGUGAAAGGCCAAUCAAACCGGGAGAUAGCUGGUUCUCCCCGAAAGCUAUUUAGGUAGCGCCUCGUGAAUUCAUCUCCGGGGGUAGAGCACUGUUUCGGCAAGGGGGUCAUCCCGACUUACCAACCCGAUGCAAACUGCGAAUACCGGAGAAUGUUAUCACGGGAGACACACGGCGGGUGCUAACGUCCGUCGUGAAGAGGGAAACAACCCAGACCGCCAGCUAAGGUCCCAAAGUCAUGGUUAAGUGGGAAACGAUGUGGGAAGGCCCAGACAGCCAGGAUGUUGGCUUAGAAGCAGCCAUCAUUUAAAGAAAGCGUAAUAGCUCACUGGUCGAGUCGGCCUGCGCGGAAGAUGUAACGGGGCUAAACCAUGCACCGAAGCUGCGGCAGCGACGCUUAUGCGUUGUUGGGUAGGGGAGCGUUCUGUAAGCCUGUGAAGGUGUACUGUGAGGUAUGCUGGAGGUAUCAGAAGUGCGAAUGCUGACAUAAGUAACGAUAAAGCGGGUGAAAAGCCCGCUCGCCGGAAGACCAAGGGUUCCUGUCCAACGUUAAUCGGGGCAGGGUGAGUCGACCCCUAAGGCGAGGCCGAAAGGCGUAGUCGAUGGGAAACAGGUUAAUAUUCCUGUACUUGGUGUUACUGCGAAGGGGGGACGGAGAAGGCUAUGUUGGCCGGGCGACGGUUGUCCCGGUUUAAGCGUGUAGGCUGGUUUUCCAGGCAAAUCCGGAAAAUCAAGGCUGAGGCGUGAUGACGAGGCACUACGGUGCUGAAGCAACAAAUGCCCUGCUUCCAGGAAAAGCCUCUAAGCAUCAGGUAACAUCAAAUCGUACCCCAAACCGACACAGGUGGUCAGGUAGAGAAUACCAAGGCGCUUGAGAGAACUCGGGUGAAGGAACUAGGCAAAAUGGUGCCGUAACUUCGGGAGAAGGCACGCUGAUAUGUAGGUGAAGCGACUUGCUCGUGGAGCUGAAAUCAGUCGAAGAUACCAGCUGGCUGCAACUGUUUAUUAAAAACACAGCACUGUGCAAACACGAAAGUGGACGUAUACGGUGUGACGCCUGCCCGGUGCCGGAAGGUUAAUUGAUGGGGUCAGCGCAAGCGAAGCUCUUGAUCGAAGCCCCGGUAAACGGCGGCCGUAACUAUAACGGUCCUAAGGUAGCGAAAUUCCUUGUCGGGUAAGUUCCGACCUGCACGAAUGGCGUAAUGAUGGCCAGGCUGUCUCCACCCGAGACUCAGUGAAAUUGAACUCGCUGUGAAGAUGCAGUGUACCCGCGGCAAGACGGAAAGACCCCGUGAACCUUUACUAUAGCUUGACACUGAACAUUGAGCCUUGAUGUGUAGGAUAGGUGGGAGGCUUUGAAGUGUGGACGCCAGUCUGCAUGGAGCCGACCUUGAAAUACCACCCUUUAAUGUUUGAUGUUCUAACGUUGACCCGUGAUCCGGGUUGCGGACAGUGUCUGGUGGGUAGUUUGACUGGGGCGGUCUCCUCCUAAAGAGUAACGGAGGAGCACGAAGGUUGGCUAAUCCUGGUCGGACAUCAGGAGGUUAGUGCAAUGGCAUAAGCCAGCUUGACUGCGAGCGUGACGGCGCGAGCAGGUGCGAAAGCAGGUCAUAGUGAUCCGGUGGUUCUGAAUGGAAGGGCCAUCGCUCAACGGAUAAAAGGUACUCCGGGGAUAACAGGCUGAUACCGCCCAAGAGUUCAUAUCGACGGCGGUGUUUGGCACCUCGAUGUCGGCUCAUCACAUCCUGGGGCUGAAGUAGGUCCCAAGGGUAUGGCUGUUCGCCAUUUAAAGUGGUACGCGAGCUGGGUUUAGAACGUCGUGAGACAGUUCGGUCCCUAUCUGCCGUGGGCGCUGGAGA